rnacentral:rRNA from 1 species
CGCAGCCGCGGUAAUUCCAGCUCCAAUAGCGUAUAUUAAAGUUGUUGCAGUUAAAAAGCUCAUAGUUGAAUUUCGGGAUCAAGGGAUCGGUCAUGCCUUGGUAUGUACUGGUCUUAUUGGUUCUCACCUUCUAAAGAACCAUAAUGUCAUUUAUUUGAUGUUAUGGGGAAUUAGGACUGUUACCUUGAAAAAUUAGAGUGUUUAAAGCAAGCUUACGCUUGAAUACAUUAGCAUGGAAUAAUGAAAUAGGACAUCAGAUUCUAUUUUGUUGGUUUCUAGGAUCGAUGUAAUGAUUAAUAGGGAUAGUUGGGGGCAUUAGUAUUCAAUUGUCAGAGGUGAAAUUCUUGGAUUUAUUGAAGACUAACUACCGCGAAAGCAUUUGCCAAGGAUGUUUUCAUUAAUCAAGAACGAAAGUUAGGGGAUCGAAGACGAUCAGAUACCGUCGUAGUC